ACGGGUGAGUAACGCGUGGGGACCUACCUCUUAGUGGGGGAUAACGGUUGGAAACGACCGCUAAUACCGCAUACGCCCUUCGGGGGAAAGAUUUAUCGCUAAGAGAUGGACCCGCGUUGGAUUAGAUAGUUGGUGAGGUAACGGCUCACCAAGUCAGCGAUCCAUAGCUGGUUUGAGAGGAUGAUCAGCCACACUGGGACUGAGACACGGCCCAGACUCCUACGGGAGGCAGCAGUGGGGAAUAUUGGACAAUGGGGGCAACCCUGAUCCAGCCAUGCCGCGUGAGUGAAGAAGGCCUUCGGGUUGUAAAGCUCUUUCAGA
rnacentral:rRNA from 1 species